rnacentral:rRNA from 1 species
AGCGAACGUUAGCGGCAGGCUUAACACAUGCAAGUCGCACGAGAAUCCGGCUUCGGCCGGUAGUAAAGUGGCGGACGGGUGAGUAACACGUGGAUAAUCUGCCCUUCGGCGGGGGACAACAGUCCGAAAGGAUUGCUAAUACCGCGUACGUCAGCAGGCUCCUUGGAGCUUGUUGGGAAAGAUGGCCUCUUCAUGAAAGCUAUCACCGAAGGAUGAGUCCGCGUCCCAUCAGCUAGUUGGCGGGGUAAUGGCCCACCAAGGCUAAGACGGGUAGCUG